rnacentral:rRNA from 1 species
UACGUAGGGUGCGAGCGUUGUCCGGAAUUACUGGGCGUAAAGAGCUCGUAGGUGGUUUGUCGCGUUGUUCGUGAAAACUCACAGCUCAACUGUGGGCGUGCGGGCGAUACGGGCAGACUGGAGUACUGCAGGGGAGACUGGAAUUCCUGGUGUAGCGGUGGAAUGCGCAGAUAUCAGGAGGAACACCGGUGGCGAAAGCGGCUCUCUGGAACGGUACUGACGCUGAGACGCGAAAGCGUGGGGAGCGAACAGG